rnacentral:rRNA from 1 species
UACGAAGGGGGCUAGCGUUGCUCGGAAUCACUGGGCGUAAAGCGCACGUAGGCGGACUCUUAAGUCGGGGGUGAAAUCCUGGAGCUCAACUCCAGAACUGCCUUUGAUACUGAGGAUCUUGAGUUCGGGAGAGGUGAGUGGAACUGCGAGUGUAGAGGUGAAAUUCGUAGAUAUUCGCAAGAACACCAGUGGCGAAGGCGGCUCACUGGCCCGAUACUGACGCUGAGGCACGAAAGCGUGGGGAGCAAACAGG